rnacentral:rRNA from 1 species
GUAGAGGAUGCUUUUGGUGAGGUGCCNUCNGAGUUCCCUGGAACGGGACGCCACAGAGGGUGAGAGCCCCGUCUGGCUGGCCACCGAGCCUCUGUAAAGCUCCUUCGACGAGUCGAGUAGUUUGGGAAUGCUGCUCAAAAUGGGAGGUAUAUGUCUUCUAAAGCUAAAUAUUGGCCAGAGACCGAUAGCGCACAAGUAGAGUGAUCGAAAGAUGAAAAGCACCUUGAAAAGAGGGUUAAACAGUACGUGAAAUUGUUGAAAGGGAAGCGCUUGUGACCAGACUUGGGCGCGGCGAAUCAUCCGGGGUUCUCUCCGGUGCACUUCGCCGUGUUCAGGCCAGCAUCAGUUCGGCGCGGGGGNNAGAGGCUUCGGGAACGUGGCUGCUCCGGCAGUGUUAUAGCCCGUUGCAUAAUACCCUGCGCUGGACUGAGGACCGCGCAUCUGCAAGGAUGCUGGCGUAAUGGUCACCAGCGACCCGUCUUGAAAACACGG